rnacentral:rRNA from 1 species
UGGGGAAUAUUGGACAAUGGGGGAAACCCUGAUCCAGCGAUGCCGCGUGCGUGAAGAAGGCCUUCGGGUUGUAAAGCGCUUUUAUUAGGGAAGAUUAUGACGGUACCUAAUGAAUAAGCCCCGGCAAACUUCGUGCCAGCAGCCGCGGUAAUACGAAGGGGGCUAGCGUUGUUCGGAAUAACUGGGCGUAAAGGGCGCGUAGGCGGCUCUGUAGGUUGGAUGUGAAAUCCCUGGGCUUAACCCAGGAAUGGCAUACAAAACGGCAGGGCUAGAGUGUGAGAGGGGAAAGCGGAAUAACGUGUGGAGCAGUGAAAUGCGUUGAUAUACGUUAGAACACCGGGGGCGAAGGCGGCUUUCUGGCUCACAACUGACGCUGAGGCGCGAAAGCGUGGGGAGCAAA